rfam:Neosartorya fischeri NRRL 181 1099437636265 genomic scaffold, whole genome shotgun sequence.
GGGGUGAUAGCUCAGUUGGGAGAGCGUGCGACUGAAGUUACUCAGUCAUUUAAUCGUAAGGUCGCCGGUUCAAUCCCGGCUCACCCCA